GGUAAGGUACAGCUCAGUGGUAGAGCGUGUGCUUAACAUGCACAAGGUCCUGGAUUCAAUCUCCAGUACCACCA
rfam:Camelus ferus unplaced genomic scaffold scaffold1533, whole genome shotgun sequence.